GUCUCUGUGGCGCAAUUGGUUAGCGCGUUCGGCUGUUAACCGAAAGGUUGCUGGUUCAAGCCCAACCAGGGACG
rfam:Ciona savignyi cont_17269, whole genome shotgun sequence.